UGCAGUCGAGCGGACAGAUGGGAGCUUGCUCCCUGAUGUUAGCGGCGGACGGGUGAGUAACACGUGGGUAACCUGCCUGUAAGACUGGGAUAACUCCGGGAAACCGGGGCUAAUACCGGAUGGUUGUCUGAACCGCAUGGUUCAGACAUAAAAGGUGGCUUCGGCUACCACUUACAGAUGGACCCGCGGCGCAUUAGCUAGUUGGUGAGGUAACGGCUCACCAAGGCGACGAUGCGUAGCCGACCUGAGAGGGUGAUCGGCCACACUGGGACUGAGACACGGCCCAGACUCCUACGGGAGGCAGCAGUAGGGAAUCUUCCGCAAUGGACGAAAGUCUGACGGAGCAACGCCGCGUGAGUGAUGAAGGUUUUCGGAUCGUAAAGCUCUGUUGUUAGGGAAGAACAAGUGCCGUUCAAAUAGGGCGGCACCUUGACGGUACCUAACCAGAAAGCCACGGCUAACUACGUGCCAGCAGCCGCGGUAAUACGUAGGUGGCAAGCGUUGUCCGGAAUUAUUGGGCGUAAAGGGCUCGCAGGCGGUUUCUUAAGUCUGAUGUGAAAGCCCCCGGCUCAACCGGGGAGGGUCAUUGGAAACUGGGGAACUUGAGUGCAGAAGAGGAGAGUGGAAUUCCACGUGUAGCGGUGAAAUGCGUAGAGAUGUGGAGGAACACCAGUGGCGAAGGCGACUCUCUGGUCUGUAACUGACGCUGAGGAGCGAAAGCGUGGGGAGCGAACAGGAUUAGAUACCCUGGUAGUCCACGCCGUAAACGAUGAGUGCUAAGUGUUAGGGGGUUUCCGCCCCUUAGUGCUGCAGCUAACGCAUUAAGCACUCCGCCUGGGGAGUACGGUCGCAAGACUGAAACUCAAAGGAAUUGACGGGGGCCCGCACAAGCGGUGGAGCAUGUGGUUUAAUUCGAAGCAACGCGAAGAACCUUACCAGUCUUGACUUCCUCUGACAAUCCUAGAGAUAGGACGUCCC
rnacentral:rRNA from 1 species